CCACACCCACGAUCUCCCUCUCCCUGGUAUUAGCACAACUCCCUCUCCUUUCUGCACUCUGAUUGGCACUCUCCAGGUUCGCCUCCCCCUUCUCUUCUCUCCCAUUCACAAAAAUGAAACCCCCCAGCUGUCGCCCCUCUGCAGUUCGCAAACCCCUCUCCCAUCUCUCUCUCUUUCACGAGAAAAUACCUAAGCGGAAAUUCCAUCUCCCCGUGGCUUUUCAGUUCAAACAGCCAGCCCUCCCCGACGCCUCUGCUCGCACGCCCAAGGAAGCUCCGGCCAAAGGAUCCAUCUCUUCCUUCCCCCUCUCAUCUGUUCUGCCCAGGAAAGCCCGACAUCGCUUCCUACCCUAGCCGACGCCAACAUUCCCACUUUGGUACAGGGUCCUCUCUACAUCAUGAAAUGCAUGAUAGUUGAGAAGUUGCAAAGACUCACCUAUGGCAAAUUAUUGCAUCCGGUCACCGGACGCGGAGAUAGGUCCGGAUAUUAAUAAAAUAUUAUUUUAAAUUAAGCGCAUGAAAGCACAGCUAAAGUGGAGGUAAAGAGCAGGUAAAACGCAGGUCAAAGAGCAGUCAAAAGCGCUUUUUUACUUCAAUAUUUCAUAUAGAUUAGACAAUUGCAAUUUUUCAUUCUAAUGCUCUCCAAACACUUGUAAAUGGAAUGAAGAGCAUUCAUAUAUUUUCUUUUUCAUUGGCAAGCAUUCACAAAUUUCUUGUAAAGUAUUUUGGAGAAAUUAUUUAAAGAACAUUCAUGUGCUAAGUGAGAUUGGAGACGAUUUUGAUGUUAGAAA